rnacentral:rRNA from 1 species
GACGAACGCUGGCGGCGUGCUUAACACAUGCAAGUCGAACGGAAAGGACCUGCUUGCAGGGUACUCGAGUGGCGAACGGGUGAGUAACACGUGGGUGAUCUGCCCUGUACUUCGGGAUAAGCCUGGGAAACUGGGUGUAAUACAGGAUAGGAGACAUUCUUAGUGUGAUGGUUGGAAAGUUUUUUCGGUGUAGGAUGAGCUCGCGGCCUUUUAGCUUGUUGGUGGGGUAAUGGCCUACCAAGGAGGCGAUGGGUAGCCGGCCCGGGAGGGUGGACGGCCACAUUUGGGCCGGGGUACGGCCCAGACUCCUACGGGAGGCAGGAGGUGGGAAAAAUUCACAAUGGGCGCAAGGCUGAUUCAGCGACGCCGGGGUGGGGAUGACGGCCUUCGGGGUGUAAACUCCUUUCGCGAGGGACGAAGCUGUUUGUGACGGUACCUAGAGAAGAAGCACCGGCUAACUACGUG